rnacentral:lncRNA from 1 species
CCUAUAUGAUGAAAAUUUAAGAAAAAAAAAUCGACGUAAAAAUAACUGGAAUUGGAUUAUUCUUUGCCUUCUCAUUCUCCCAAGAACCUUUUUAUAUUCCGAAUUGAGCUCUGAAAUGGCUAGCGUGAAUGAAGGAAUAGGGAUUAUAGCAUCACCAAAUCUAAGUGGGGAGCGGAUUCUCUUCCUCCGAUAGAAUUUCCUCUGUCUUCUUGGGAAAUUCAAAUUUCACAAGUUACAGACUGGUAAACCCGAAUCAAGUAAAAAAUUAAAUUGAAAAGUCCUGUUUUUUUACCAUCCACCGAGACAGAGGCGCGCAGUAUUUAAUGGAGCAUUGAAUGCUAUUCCAUGACAUAUGGAUAUUUGCCAAUUGGAUUCCUUCGCUUCAAAUCCCUAAUCCCCCUUUACAAUCUCCAUUAUCGUCUGCAGAGCACAUGGCAGGAUCUGAAAUUUGGAGAUGGAGAUGGCUGAAGACAUGUUUCAAGUCGUCAAUGGACGAUGCCAAGCAAAAACAGAGAGCAAAGGAGAGUGGUUCAGUGUCGAAGACUAGCAGCGUUCACGCAGUGAGAUCGUCGCCGAAUCGUCGACAGUCUUACAGCUCCAUGAACGCUGAAGAACGCGACGAGAAUCUAAAAGCGGCCAUUAUCUACUGCAACAACAAAUCGAGACUUCCAGUGGAGGUGUAGCUUACGCCUGAUUUCAAUUUCACAGUCUUUCAAUAUAGAUAUGGAUAUGAGAUUUUUGGUGAUAAUAUUUGAUUUUUAAAAAAAAUAUAUAUAUCUUUUCCGAUCGGGUGUAAUUCUGCGAUUAAUUGAUUAUUUAGUGUGGUAUUCUCCUAGAGGAACCAGCUUAGCUUCCCACUUUCUCUCUUGUUUGGUUCAUGUGUUGGAUCUGUAUUCCUCAGUUCGUGUUUGAUUGGACUGCUGCUAAAUUGUACCAGUAUGGUUCACACAUUAUUUUUUAUUUUUAAGAAAAUUAAAAAAUAUAUUUUAAAAGAUAAUAAAAAUUGUAUACAUC